CUGUCCUACGGGAGGCAGCAGUCGGGAAUAUUGCGCAAUGGAGGAAACUCUGACGCAGUGACGCCGCGUGCAGGAAGAAGGUUUUCGGAUUGUAAACUGCUUUAGACAGGGAAGAAAGAAAUGACGGUACCUGGGGAGGAAGCUCCGGCUAACUACGUGCCAGCAGCCGCGGUAAUACGUAGGGAGCGAGCGUUGUCCGGAAUUACUGGGUGUAAAGGGAGCGUAGGCGGGACUGCAAGUUGGGUGUCAAAUCUACCGGCUCAACCGGUAGCCGCACUCAAAACUGCAGUUCUUGAGUGAAGUAG
rnacentral:rRNA from 1 species